GUAGGUGGCAAGCGUUGUCCGGAAUUAUUGGGCGCAAAGCGCGCGCAGGCGGUUCUUUAAGUCUGAUGUGAAAGCCCACGGCUCAACCGUGGAGGGUCAUUGGAAACUGGAGAACUUGAGUACAGAAGAGGAAAGCGGAAUUCCACGUGUAGCGGUGAAAUGCGUAGAGAUGUGGAGGAACACCAGUGGCGAAGGCGGCUUUCUGGUCUGUAACUGACGCUGAGGCGCGAAAGCGUGGGGAGCAAACAGGAUUAGAUACCCUGGUAGUCCACGCCGUAAACGAUGAGUGCUAAGUGUUAGGGGGGUUUUCCGCCCCCCUUAGUGCUGCAGCUAACGCAUUAAGCACUCCGCCUGGGAGUACGGCCGCAAGGCUG
rnacentral:rRNA from 1 species